CUAUUCGGCACACGAUUCUCAGAAUCUCAGAUCAUUCAGAAAAUAGAUAACAUCUUGGAGAUGACCACCUAAGUUGACUCUUGUGUAAACUGAUCUGGAGUAGUUCUAGUCCAAGACCUCCGAACGAGAAAGGCUCUCUUCGAGAUCCCAGAAGUAUUUGACGAAAAUUUCUUCGAAGUUUCAUAAUUUGUUUAUUCAUUCAGUGAAUAAUUCUUUGUGUAACCUCCCGAGUUUUAUUAAUAAUGAAGAGAUUGGCGGAGUUGCGAAGAUGAGAGUUCACAAUUCAACACACUCUAUAGAAGGGUGCCAUUUUUUCCCCCCAAAAGAAUUACACUUUUGGUCCUCAAACUAUGAGGGGUGUGGCACUGGUCCUCAAAGUAUUAUUUAUUGUAAUUUCUAGCUCGAAUUUUGUAAAUUAUUGUAAUCAAAGUCUCACAACUCAAUUUAGUUGAUUAAAUAUUAACGUCUCGUUGAUGUGGCAUCUUUCUUUUUGUCACGUUGUUAA